rnacentral:tRNA from 1 species
GGACGGCGCGGCCAGGCAGGCGGCCUGGCUGCUGUCCGGGCAGCCGGAACCGCCGGUCUGGGACACCGGCGCCGUCGA